ensembl:lncRNA novel transcript
AUUUACUCAGCGGUCAGAGGCAUCCUGCGUCUGGGAGUCCCAAGUGCCUUCGGCUGGGUGCCCCUGUCCGAUCCUCAAAAGGAAAGCACAAAUCCCGGGUGCGAGUCUAACCCAGGACCGAACUUUCCCGCGAACCUGAAGUUACCAUGGGGCGGGAGCCACCUUAGCGCCGCGUCCGCCCGCCCCUCGCACCGGCUAGGAUGCUGCGGAAGGCAGGGGCGCCGAGAGGCAAGGGUGAAAGACGCCGUCCAUACCCCCAAAGCCCGAACCUGCAUCUCCUCUGCGAGGCGCAGGGCGGGAGGACCGCUGCAGUUGGGAGCCGGCUCCGGACAGGCAAAGCGACCCGACAGGUAACCUUCCACAGGCCCACACAUGUGUUAUCAGCCAUACCUUAGGACAGAAGGAAUGAGUUUGCAGAAAGGAUGCCCUACAACCAUACUGAGAAUUUAGCCCUGGGGACAUCUUCCGAUAUAAUCUGGCAUAGAAGAGUGGUUAUCACACCUUUAGCAUGGGACCCUUGAGACACCUUUGCUGUGAAUAAUGGAGAAGCAAAAGGAGUUACUAAUGAAGACAAACUAAACCUGAGAACAGAGAGAGCCUAACUAUGUGCUCCAGAAGUGCCAUGUGUGUCUAAGAUGAAGUUUCGCUCUUCUUGCCCAGGCUGGAGUGCAAUGGCACAAUCUCAGCUCACUGCAACCUCUGCCUCCUGGGUUCAAGCGAUUCUCCUGCCUCAGCCCCCUGAGUAGCUGGGAUUACAGCCUCCUGGGUAUUAAAAUGAGCAAGACCAACAAGUCACUACUCUGAAGGAGCUUACAUUCUAGAAACCCUUAGAGAGCCUUCCUGCCUCCACUCCAUUUGCCUUGGACGUUGUCAUACAGACAGAAGAGAACUUGGGGUUCACCUGGAAAACCUUUGUACUGUUGCUCUCUUACAUUAUGAAGUGUGACAUUCAUGCAAUAUUUGACUCAACAUAAAAGCACUUGAAAAUAAUAUUAAACCAUCACACUGAGUUUUCUCUGAACCCACAACAACCCAAAUUCAUGAAGGGCACAUUCUUCCUUUUCCGGGCAAUGUGAAAGAUAAGCCUUCUUCAGAGUUGCCACCUGUGGGGUGUGGGAUGACCGGCCCCCUUCUUCCACCCUCAGACCACAAGCCUCAUUCUUGCCAUAAUGAAGAAGCUGAUUGAUGGAUGUCGCCUUUCCCACUGCAGACACUCUUAUCUUUCUCAGCUUAGCAGUAAUAGACAUGACCUGCUCCCUACCAGCUGGUCUCUGUGUGAGGGACCCGUCCAUCACUCUUUUUCCCUCUUCCAUCUGUUCUCCCCUCCUUCUCCAAAUUUCAGCCCAUAUGCCCACUGGCAGCAACCAAUAUGUCUGUCUGUCAGUAACUCUGUAAUGAGACCAAUUUAUAAGGUCACAUAAUCCUGACUCUUCAGGAAGAAAAAAAAUCCCCUAUCCUAUUUACUGAGAGAAAGUCACCUUCACCUCUAGUUCAAAUGGCUGUGGGAGGUCAUGUACUAACCACCAAAAAGUAAUUUAGAAUCAAUUUCAAAUGGUCUGUUUUCUACCAAAUUUAUUUAAAAAGAACCCGUUCCCCUGGGUUUUCUUUUAUUUGCCAAUGCUCUUAGCUAGAAUUUGCAAAAAUGAAAAUGUUGACCUUUAGGGAGGAAACUAAGGUCUAGAAACAAUUUAGAUUAUUAUGUCAAAUAGUGAACACUUUACUUCAUUCCAGUGGUAUUAUUAGCAUCACCCCCGCUACUUGCAUAAGCACAGGAUUUCCAUGGACCUGUCAGUAAGUGUUGCGUGUUUGUAUAACACGGCAGAAUUUUCCCCAGGAACAUUUUGUGUCUUUAGCUGACUAGCGCAAAUUAAAUUCUGUGUCAGUUUUGGCCAGAGGCUAAGAGUACCUUAUGACAUUUUACUGAAUUCAAUAACUGCAAUGAAAAUAUUUGUAAGCACAAUGCAACCAGUGAGUCCUAUUUUAUGAUAUAAGCUGUCAUGGGUAGUAUAUUUCUUUUCUACAAAGGGUGGUAACUUUUACUAUUCCAUUCGCUAGAGACUACAUUCAACAACUGUUAAUUAAUUAUAAUAUGUGUAUGUUGUCCUAUUUUUAACAGGAACAAAUGAAGACCAAACACCAAAAUGAAUUAAAAGCUUUCCAGGACAUCUAAAAUUUGAGGAUUGUUAGGUGUUUUUUUUUUUCUUUGUAGUAGUCAUUUAGAUACUCAUGCUGGCUGUUCAAAAAGCCCCUGCAAGAUAGUCUCCAGCUGCCUGGCAGUGAACCAUCCUCUUUAUCAAUGGAAAAAAGUCCUUUCCCUUGGGAUCCAGUUUUAAGUUACUGACAGUAUUAGCCCAUGAAUCCUCAGCCUGGUUUUGAAUUUAAGUCACUGCUCCAAUUCACAGUGACCUAAGGGUUGGUUCACUCUGCACUGGGAAUUAUACCUGCUCUCGGCACUGAUUUCGUGCCAGCUGUUUUCCUGUAUGUUAGCUUCUUAAAUAUUGUAAUGGAAUUUGAAUGACAUUUGAAUUUUACAUGUCUGGCCACUUAAAACCCUCAGGACUCCCAUGAACAGUUUGGAGUACAGAAAGCUGCCUUACAAUUGGAGGUUCUAUUUACAACUGGAGGCUUUUGAGCCUGAAGCUUGUGUGAACCAGACUGCACUCUGGAAUUUAUUGCUUAGUUUUGCGGGUUUGUUCAGAGUUGAUUUGCUGGCUACAAUCAUUUGCCCCACAUCCCACCCUCAACUUGCCACCCCUCCCAACCACCAAUCUAACCCUGAGUUAAAGGUAUGUGAGUAGAGGAGGCACUCAGUGAAAUGAAUGCCAAACCUUACUGUGCCUAAUAUUUUAAAUUUAAACUCAGCUUAUUAUGCUUUAUUUCUGUAUUCCUGACUUCUCAAACCACAACUUUCUACUGGUAGAAUUAUAGUUACUUCUUCAAUUUAUUCUAGUAUUAAUUGAAUUUUAGUCCUGGUAGUCUAUAAUUAAUUCUGGAAUUAAUAGAAUUAAGCUUAGUUCUACUACUAAAUGUUG